AUCCGUUGGUUUCACAUAACCGUGAGGGUUCGAUUCCCUCUAUCCC
rnacentral:tRNA from 3 species